UGCGGGAUGUGCGAGAUCUCAGUGCCAAUCAGGUUCAAGCGGACAAGGCCAAUGCGGCCAGGAGGGGUAUUGGCGAUGCGACCAACAUCAGAUUGGAGGAGGCGUCGAGCUGUAGGCUCAAAGAGGAUCUACAUAAAUUAUUUACGCCUCUCACAAAUGAAGAUGAAACUUUAGUAGACAGCUCAUUGUAUGGUAGUGGUCACAG